rnacentral:rRNA from 1 species
AUAAGUACUUAUAUGAGCUUUAUGGCCCUCAGAGGCUAAGUAGGUUAUGUCCUACUUAGUACUUGGAUGGGGAACCACUUGGAAAGUCAAGGCCUAUUGAUA